ACCAUAAACUUAACUUAACCCUUUACUAAUACUGAAUGACUUCAUAUCUUUAUGAAGAACCUUAUGUUAGAACUAGUAACAAGAAGAAGCCCUUCUCCAAAAUGUAAGCAUGAACCAAAAUGAACAAAUCAUUGGUGCUUAAAAUUUUUUAACUACAAGUAACAACUCAUCAAGAAAACCUUACUACCCAACAUGUCAACCUUACACAAGUACAUUUAUGGAAAGAGUAAAAGAAUGGGAAGGAACUCGGCAAAUACUAACCCCGCCUGUUUACCAAAAACAUCGCCUCCUGCUACUUUAUAGGAGGUCCAGCCUGCCCAGUGAUAAAAUUAAACGGCCGCGGUACCCUAACCGUGCAAAGGUAGCGCAAUCACUUGUUCUUUAAAUGAGGACUAGUAUGAACGGCAUCACGAGGGUUACACUGUCUCCCCACUCCACUCAGUGAAACUAAUCCCCCCGUGAAGAAGCGGGGAUAAAAAUAUAAGACGAGAAGACCCCAUGGAGCUUAAAACUCAGUCUUACCUGCCACCUAAAAAACCUAGAAACCACGCAGUACUAAUGACUAGUUUUCGGUUGGGGUGACCGCGGAGAAAAACAUAUCCUCCACGACGAAAGGACCUAUUCACCUAAUCCAAGAGUUACACCUCUAAGAAUCAACACAUUGACCAAUUGAUCCAAUUUUUUGAUCAACGGACCAAGUUACCCUGGGGAUAACAGCGCAAUCCAUUUCAAGAGCUCAUAUCGACAAAUGGGUUUACGACCUCGAUGUUGGAUCAGGGUAUCCAAGUGGCGCAGCCGCUACUAACGGUUC
rnacentral:rRNA from 1 species